ACAAAUGAAGAGCAAAUGGGAAGUAUAAAUUGGAAACAAGCUCUGAGUCUGCUUAGGCUGUUGCCACUGACUUUGGUAUGACCUUUCUUUGCUAGUGCUUCUGAUUAUCCCUAUUUGCCAACUCACUGAGUAUCCAUGCCUUUCUAAUAAGACAGUUGUGGUGAGAUGAUCUAAUUUCUUAUCCCCCCAAAUGCUUUGAGCAUCCUGGGAAAGGGCAGUCUAUAAAAUACGCAAUUUUAAUGUUUUGUGAAAAGUUUGCUAUACUGCAGGUUACGGAGACACAUUUUUAGCAUAAGUGCCAUGUGGCAGUGUAAAAUUAAAAUGGAAAAGGAAAGUACAAGCAUAAAAAUGACUUAGCAUUCUUGACAUUCUUGUGCAUACUUGUAGAAAAAUUAUCUUUCAUUUGGGGAGAGUUGCCUAGGAAUUUAAUCAGUGUUUAUACUACUGAAACGCCCCCUUCUACCUUUCUCCCCUGUAAAAUUUUAUGACCCAGUUCUCACAGGGGAGGCAAUGGGAAUGUAGUAAGUACUGAGGGCUGAGAGGCAAGAUGAAAGGGUUGUUAGGGGAACCAUCACACAAGGUUUGGAGACUAGAAUGGGAGGAAAGAUGCCAUCAUCCUUGCAGAGCAGGGAAAUGUUCUUCUGGGGGAAAAAAACCAAAAAACAGUUGAGCAGUAUGGGCAAUAGACCCAGCACUGGCUGUUGCCUGCUCUCAGAUGCAGGAAGUCAAAGAGGUGGUCCAAAGAGGGCUAACCAAGUUGUUCUGCCCUCCUCCCUUUCAUAAAGGUAUUGCCUUCCUCUUACCUUUGGAUUGCUGUUAACUUCUCUCUCUCGGUCUGUAUAGUGCAACAGUUUCCCCUUGUCAUCUCAAAGAGAUUCAGAUGUACUCUCUCAGCCCCUUAUGUAUUUGUAAAUAUUCCCCAAGUUCUGAAGCUUCUCAGAGAUGUGCAGCUGUUAGUGAAUUUAAGUAAAUAGUUGGAAGUAAUCAAGAAAGCCACUGAAAAGUGCGUAUGUUUUCCCCUGGUGGAGAAGUUAUUGAAUGCCUUUUGAGCUAGAAAAUUAGCAGCUUAGAAAAGCGGGAGGGAUUUCCUUGACUUCCCUCUACUCGUAAACCAGUAGUUGUAUUUUUCUUUCCCUCAUAGUAGUGAGCACUGUUUAGUUAAGCAUUUUUUACAGUUUCGGAUUUAAAAUAGGGCUUUGCCUGGUGGUGUUCUAUGGAGAAAGGAAAAAUGUAAAGAGAUACGGAAGGAAGAGCUGCAGUGGCUAGAACAUAAAUCAGCCAGAAUAUAUGGGGGGGUGAUGAGAAUAGGUCUUUUCACCCUAAAAAAAAAGUCCACUUUGGAAGAAGAAGAAGUCUGAUUAUUGGCACCCAAGGCUGAAACCAAGGCAGCUGAUGCCGAGAGGAGCCAAAGGGCAGUUCUUCUUAGUUUAGAAACAGCAAGACAGCCUCUGCCAAAGAUUGCUGUAAACACGGAAUAAAGAUUUCAUUGUGGGCUGGUGUGACUAGAAUAAUUAGACAGUUGAUUGUUCAUUCUGAUCUGGUGGUGUUGUAAUCAGGAGUGCAGAUCAGUGAAAAUAAGAGCAAGGGAGAAAUAGAAAAGUAACAUAUCACUUUUAUCUUCAUUUGUUUCACUCUGAUGCUACUUGGAAAAAUCCCAGUUUUUUUUUUUUUCUUUCUUUCUUUUUUUAAAGUAUAUUCCUAUCCCCAGGACAGUGAGAACACUGGGGAUCUGAAAUCCAUUGCUGCCACUUUUCUCCCUCCAGCCUCUAUUCUGACUAUGGACAAAAUUUCUCAUCUUCUAGAAUCAGCAUAGGAAACUACAGUAGGAAGAGAUAUAUUCAGUAACUCUAGUAUUAAUUAAUAGAUUUGUUAUGUGCAAACCUUCGUGUCAGCUCAAUCAAAAUAUACACAAAUAGCACCAGAUUUUUGUGCUUCUCCAAUAGUUUUUUCAUGGACAUGUAAGGUUUAAAAUAUUCCCUUUUUGCCAUUUAAUUAUAUUCUAUUGUGAAACAAAUUGCCUAGUGAUUAAUCUUUUACACUUAAUUGAAGAAAUAACCUCCUCUGUACUUUCAUACUAAUUUAGAAACAAAACGUAUUUUAAGUGAUAAAGGUGAUUUGAAGCUGCUGAGCAUCUACAGUUAUUAUAGGCAAUAGACUGUGACUUAUUGUUAUUUACUAAAAGAUGGCACUGUCAUAAAUCCCAUCUCAAAAGACUCCUGCAAUGAAGAAAUGAGUUAGAGACUAUAGAGAGCAUUAAGUAUUUGGGUGUCUGGGGAGGAAGAAAAGAAAAACCAUGUAUUCAUUAGGUUCAAACCCUCCCUGAAUCCCAAUAUUGACAUAGAAUAUGGAGCAAAGUUCUCAUUAUUUGAAUUUUAAAAAAGAACAUUUUUAAGUGUCAAUGCUAAGUAUAAUGGUUCUGGGAAUAAAAGCACUAUGUUAUAAUGAGAGCAUAAUAAAUUACAUAAGGUCAUAAAGUCUCACAAAGAAAACUACUUGGUUUCUUCGAGAUAUUAAUUUUGUCUCAGUUUGUUUAAGAGGUACAAAACUAUCCUUACUAACCUUUAGUUUCUUUUAUCCAUCAUGAAUCAAAAGGGAUUGCAAAGGAAGAAUACUUACUGAAGUGUUAAAAAGCAUUAGUGGUGCAAAAUUAUGGAACUAUUGAGCUUUCAGAAGACAAAGUUGUACUUUUACAAAAUGUCUAUAGGAAUUAAAAAUAGAAAAAAAUCGUAUUGCCACUUUAAAUUAUGGAAACAACCCAUUUUAAAGAAAAAAUUAGCCUUUUUCCAAUUAAUUGCAGUUCAUGGUUUGCUAAAUAGUUUUUCAGAGUAAUCUGCCAAUCUCUUGCUAACCAGGGCUGUCUAGUUGAGAACAUUCCUAAUUACACAUGGAUAAACUUAAUUUUAGAACCCUAAGAAUAUUCAACUCAAAGCAUUACUCAAGUGUGAUGCAAAACAAAAAUGGUCCAAUUAGCCUAAAGAUACAUGUAAUUUUUCUAAGUUUAAAGAAUCAUAAAAGAGAGAAUAUUUGGUAUGGAAACACAUCAGUGAAUAACUACAAUAAAAGAGUAAGGGAAGCUAUAAACUGUUAGGUCUUUUAAAUAUAUGUAAAAUAAAGUUAUAACAAUACUGCUCAUUUCUUCUUCCAGAGCAGUAGGGCUGGCCAUGUGAAAUACCACGCAAAGUACAAAUGUCAAAGACAUGCACAGCAUGCCUGAAAUGGAAGUAUUUUUGCUGUUUAUAAGAAUGUUUGACAAUAUAAUCAUUCCAAAGUCUAACUUAUUCCAACAAAUGUCAUGACAACAUUAAGAGUAAAGAGGUAUCUUCUACCUCCUUCUUUAGAGAUAUUUCUUCAUAGUUCCAUAGCUCCUAGCUGGAAUCAUACACAUAAUAGAUGCUCAAUAAAUAUGUGUGAAUUUUGGCUUUUAUAAGGAAAGGAAAAUUGAAUUAAUGGAAUUUCCAAGAUAGAUUAAUUUAUAAGUCUAAUACUUGAAUGAUCUUUGUUGCUUCAAAUUCUCUAAACUGGCAAGAUAUGCCUAUGACCAAUAGUCAUAAUUAUGGAUAAUAUUCUGGUGUUGUCAAUAAGAGGGAGGUAAGAAAAGAGGAAAAACUUAAAGGCUUUCCUUUUUUUAGUUUUUUAAAUAGUGAAUGUGUUUAUGUAUAUGUAAGUUAAAAAUGCACAGUAUCUCUUCAUAAUAAAGAUGGCACUUCACCAAAUGGUGAUUACUCAUGAGAAGUCAUCACACAGAUUUUACUCUUGAAGAACUGUCUAUUAGACCAAUUAUGACUAAAUGGCUGCAUAUUCUCUGCUGUGGCAACUAAUUAAAGAAUAUUCAAAGAAAUAAUAAUUUCAUUCCAUGGCAAUGGCUACUUCUUGUUGUCAUAGAAGUUUGAUUGGCAUAUGGCCAAAUGAUCAGGCCCAACCACGCAAUUGCAGCAGUGUUCAACAUCUCAUUACUUGUGACCAAUACACUUCACUUAUCUGACCCUGCACCUGAUUUAUAACUUAAAAAAGCUUUGUUGACUUUCCACAAAAAAUGAAAAACAGGUACCCAUAACAAACUGAAAUGUCUAUAGGUAAGUCAUCAGGCUUUUUUUUUUUUUUUCCCUUUUAGAACUGACCGGUUUGAAUGAACAAGGUGGUCUUAGUUUCUUCCUAGAGAACAGUACAUAGUGUAAUAUUUUGACAUAAUUGGGAGCUAAUAGUCAAGAGAAAACCAGGCUAGAAUUAGCAUGAAGAUUCAAUUACUCCUUGUUCCCAGAGGCAGUUGUUUACCAGGAUGAGAGCUAAGGUUGUGGGCAAAAUAGGAUAGGAACAUGUGCAGUGGAGCUUGCUUAUUCUUUAGCUGCUGUCUUUGGAUGGAACCAAACUUUGGUUUUCACAUCCUCCAAUAAAUGAAAACAGAAUUUAUUAUACAGUAGGUGGCAUAAAUCCAAUGAUGCACAUUUUAACUGUAUACUUGGGUAUAAGUAUUUUAGAUGUAUUUAUUAAAAUUUGUGGUUCAAGAUAUUGUAUACAUAAUAUUUUCCUGAAGGAACAAUAUAUAUUUUAUAUCAUAUUAAUUCUUACAUUGUUUCAUUUUAUAAAGACGAUGUUGAGUCCCUAUCAAUUCCUAAUAUGAGAUUAAUUGCACAUAUUAUGAAGAAUUGAUGAACUGACCAUAAUUUGCUUUCAAAUACCAACAGAAGUAAUUUCAUUUAGCAUUUUAAUUAGAAAUUGGCUAAAGGAAUUUCAUUUAGAAGUAAUUUCUAAAGCAAUACAUGUUCUUUAAUUUGAAGCACUAUUAGUACUCUGAUAAGAGUAUCAAAACAGAUGGAAGUGAAUCCUCAAUCUUUGCAUCUAAGAUCUUUCUCUGUGCAGAAGUUUCUAUUAGACAUUUAGAAUGGGUAGUAACACCUACUUACCGCCUUUUAAGGUUGAGGGAAAAGCCAGCUGAACGUUACAGCCAUCACUAUGCCCACUCAUAUACAAACCCAAAGGUUCCCUUAUUUUCUUUUUAUUUGUAUUGUUAAUUUCCAAUAUAUCUCUUUUUUAAAUCCCUUGAUUCCCUACGCCUAAAGCCUCAUUUGAAACAUGAAUUUGAAAAGGCACCAUCAUCACAUCAUUGAAAGAAGAAGCCACAUUUGAGAACAUGUUGUCUUGUAAGUUUUUGUGGGGUUUUUUUGGAUAUUAAGUAAGACUCUAAAUCUGUGCUAUACUUUGCACAAACUGGCAAGAACCCCUAAAGAUGUUCAUCUUUAUAAAUAAUAUUAAAUAAGGUUUUUGUGCUAUCAUUAAUCUCAUUACAAAUUUUAUUUAAAGCUAAUAAUAUCUAGCAAUCAACGUAUAUCUUCAUUAACAUUAUAGUUUUGAAGUUUUAUAGUUGUAUAUUCCUUUAUCCUUAGUCUAUGCUCUCAUCUCAACUAUAUUGGGAACAUUUAUUUCAGUCUAAAGGCCUACUCAUUUUUGGAAAUAAAAUCCUUGAGUAGUCAUUAAAAAAUUAAUCCAUUUGGCAGUUAAGCAUCUCAGUGGAAUACUUCAGGCAGCUAAGCACAAAGGCUAUCUCUCAAUUCAUGGGGCUGGCAAACGUCUGGAGAUCAAAUUUCUGGGCUCGUUUCUUUAAACACAGGAAAACAACAGAUUUCUUCAUGAUAUAUAAGCGCUAUCCAUUUCUUUGCACACCUCUAUAUAGUUCACUUGUGUCAAUUAAAAUGUGUUGCAUUCAGAGAGAAAGCAGACAGGGCAAUAAAAAUAACCACCAUUUAUUUAGGUCUCUCUUCUAUGCCAGACACUGUGCUGAGUGUUUCACAUGCCCAACCUCAUUAAUCUUUUGGAAAUCAUUAUCAUUAUCAUCUUUAUUUUGCAGACACAGAAACUGAGGCACAGGGUUAAAUGGUCACCGGGGGCAGAUUUCAAAGCCAGGACUCUCUGGUUCCCAAGUUUGGAGUCCUAAUGAUGCAGUUACACUGCCUUCACUUUAUCAGGGUUUCUUGACCUUGGUACUAAUGACAUUUGGGGCCAUAUAAUUCUUAAUUGCUUAUUUGAGGGGUGAAAAGGAGCUGUCCUGUGCAUUGUAGGACAUUCAGCAGCAUCCCUAGUCUCUACCCAGUAGGUGCCAGUGUGAUCAUCAAAAAUGUCUCCUCUCAAUUGUGAACACCAAAAAUGUCUCCAGGCAUUGUUACAUGUCCCUUGAGGGAGCAAAAUGACCCCUGAUUGAGAACCACUGCCAUAGAGCAAAGUUAAACCUCCAUGUGUUGCUUAUUUAGCACACAUUUUUCAACUUAAGGUUAGGUCAUCCAUUUUCUAAAUAAUAAUAAUACCAAUAAGUCUCAUAGUUAUGUUAGCCACAUUAUAGAUGAUUUGUUUUUAAAACUGAGAUAGAGAGUUCCCGUAGUGGCUCAGCAACUAACAAGCCCAACAAGUAAACAUGAGGAUGCAAGUUAGAUCCCUGGCCUUUCUCAGUGGGUUAAGGAUCUGGCAUUUCCAUGAGCUGUGGUGCAGGUCACAGAUGUGGCAUAGAUCCCACGUUGCUGUGGCUGCGGUGUAGGCCAGCAGCUGUAGCUCUGAUUCAACCCCUAGCCUGGGAACCUCC
rnacentral:lncRNA from 1 species